GACGAACGCUGGCGGCGUGCCUAACACAUGCAAGUCGAGCGGAGUCGAUCGACGGAAGCCUUCGGGCGGAAGAUGGUUGACUUAGCGGCGGAUGGGUGAGUAACGCGUGGGCAACCUGCCUCGAAGACCGGGAUAACAGCCCGAAAGGGCUGCUAAUACCGGAUGUGGUCAAGGAUCCGCAUGGAUUUUUGAUUAAAGGGGAAACCCGUUUCGAGAUGGGCCCGCGUCCUAUCAGCUAGUUGGUGAGGUAAAAGCUCACCAAGGCGACGACGGGUAGCCGGCCUGAGAGGGUGACCGGCCACACUGGAACUGAGACACGGUCCAGACUCCUACGGGGGGCAGCAGUGGGGAAUCUUCCACAAUGGGCGAAAGCCUGAUGGAGCGACGCCGCGUGAGCGAAGAAGGCCUUCGGGUUGUAAAGCUCUGUCUGGAGGGACGAGGAAGUGACGGUACUCCGGAGGAGCCACGGCUAACUACGUGCCAGCAGCCGCGGUAAAUCACGUGUA
rnacentral:rRNA from 1 species